rnacentral:lncRNA from 1 species
AGACCCUGACCCUCCCUCCCAAGGCUCAACCGUCCCCCAACAACCCCCAGCCUUGUACUGAUGUCGGAUGCGAGAGCCUGUGCUUAAGUAAGAAUCAGGCCUUAUUGGAGACAUUCAAGCAAAGGUUGGACAACUACUUUUCCAGAACAGAAAGGAAACUCAUGCAUCAGAAAAGGUGACUAAUAAAGGUACCAGAAGAAUAUGGCUGCACAAAUACCAGAAUCUGAUCAGAUAAAACAGUUUAAGGAAUUUCUGGGGACCUACAAUAAACUUACAGAGACCUGCUUUUUGGACUGUGUUAAAGACUUCACAACAAGAGAAGUAAAACCUGAAGAGAUAACCAAAGUUCUCCCAUCCGUACCUCUUGCAAGAAAAGUUCUUGCAACUUUUUAUUCUUCGUUGGAUCCCACAACUAAAAUAUUCAUAAAAUAUUCAACAAUGAGUAAUGAAGAUGCUCCAGGUAAAUGUAAUGCAGCAAUGGACCAUACUUUGGGAAAGUCCUGGGAAGAAGAGGAAGAAAGACCCUAGAAAAAGUGAGAAGAGACUCUUUAUCUGCUUUGGUUUAUUCAUGUGUAAAAUGAGAAUAGAGGCCAGGCACAGUGGCUCCCUCGUGUAAUCCCAACACUUCAGGAGGCCAAGGCCGGCAGACUGCUUGAGCUCAGGAGUUCAAGACCAGCCUGGGCAAUGUUGCGAAACCCAUCUCUGUAAAAGUACAAAAACUAGCCAGGCAUGGUGGUAUGCACCUGUAGUCCCAGCUAUUUAGGAGACUGAGGUGGGAGAAUCACCUAACCCCAAAAGGGUUGAGGCUGCAGUGAGCUGUGAUCAUUGCCACUGUACUCCAGCCUGGGCAACAGAGUGAGACCCUGUGUC